AAAAAAAAAAAAAAAAAAAGAAAGAUUAUUUAAGCUUAAUUAUAUACAUGCUCCAACGUAUUAACCAAUUCAUUCUGCGGUCCAAGGUUGGUGACAUUUGGUAAAAAGCUCAACAUGAAAAAUGGCCAGUUUGGCAACCAAUGAAGCUCUCUCCUUUUCUUUUCUCCCCCACCCAUCAUUUGGCAGCUAGAUCCACUCAUGGGUUUUGAAUUAUUUCAUAUACAAUUCAAUCUGACCCACUCGCCUACCUCUAACAUGCUUCCCAUUCUCAAUUCUCAUCAACAAACCUUUUUGUUGGGCUGUGGUACAAAGUUUUAAAUUGACACGGAAUAUAUUUUCCACUCUUUUUUCAUGCGUCCUCAAUUGUUUACUCACUCACAUUGCUGUUUAAAUAUGUGUGUUCUUGCAGUUCUUUUGUAGGCUCAUAAGCUGUUUGUUAAAAUGCCUAAAAGACUAGAACUUGAGUUGGCUCUAUUCAACUGGCACAUUUGGAGAUAGGAAGAGUGAGCCAUGCUGGAGAGGCAGGGCACAUGCUAGAUUUACCAGCAAGAUGGUAAGUUUUAGCAUGUGCUCUUCUUCUCCAACUUGGAUUCUCUUCCUUUUGUAAACAACAUUGAAAACUUAAGCCUGUGUUUACUUCUAAUAAAGGGGAUGCUCCUGGACGAUCCAGAGGCCUCCUUGACACUCAACUGCAGGGCUUCUGUCUUUGAGGAAACCUCAUCAAGCCCAUUUUGCAGGUUUGCUGCUUGUACCUAUCAGUGAAGCAUAAAAUGAGAAUAUUUUCCAAGAUUGGAAUAAUCCAUUUUAAUCCAAUACUACUUCUCUAUGUGCAUCAAUGAAGUAAGAUGGUGAUGGUGUUCCAAGUUAUAAUUUUAGUUCCUUCUCAAACCGAUAAAGUCGAACUUAAGUUGUUAUUCUCAAGGAAUAUCAAUGUCGAUAUUGAUAUUGGGAUUUCAAUUUUACGGAUA